rnacentral:rRNA from 2 species
GGAUCCAGACUUUGAUCCUGGCUCAGGAUGAACGCUAGCUACAGGCUUAACACAUGCAAGUCGAGGGGAAACGAUAUUGGAAGCUUGCUUCCGAUAGGCGUCGACCGGCGCACGGGUGAGUAACGCGUAUCCAACCUGCCCAUCACUUGGGGAUAACCUUGCGAAAGUAAGACUAAUACCCAAUGAUAUCCGUCGAAGACAUCUGAAGUGGAUUAAAGAUUCAUCGGUGAUGGAUGGGGAUGCGUCUGAUUAGCUUGUUGGCGGGGUAACGGCCCACCAAGGCAACGAUCAGUAGGGGUUCUGAGAGGAAGGUCCCCCACAUUGGAACUGAGACACGGUCCAAACUCCUACGGGAGGCAGCAGUGAGGAAUAUUGGUCAAUGGACGAGAGUCUGAACCAGCCAAGUAGCGUGCAGGAUGACGGCCCUAUGGGUUGUAAACUGCUUUUAUAAGGGAAUAAAGUGAGAGUCGUGACUCUUUUUGCAUGUACCUUAUGAAUAAGGACCGGCUAAUUCCGUGCCAGCAGCCGCGGUAAUACGGAAGGUCCGGGCGUUAUCCGGAUUUAUUGGGUUUAAAGGGAGCGUAGGCCGGAGAUUAAGCGUGUUGUGAAAUGUAGAUGCUCAACAUCUGCACUGCAGCGCGAACUGGUUUCCUUGAGUACGCACAAAGUGGGCGGAAUUCGUGGUGUAGCGGUGAAAUGCUUAGAUAUCACGAAGAACUCCGAUUGCGAAGGCAGCUCACUGGAGCGCAACUGACGCUGAAGCUCGAAAGUGCGGGUAUCGAACAGGAUUAGAUACCCUGGUAGUCCGCACGGUAAACGAUGGAUGCCCGCUGUUGGUCUGAAUAGGUCAGCGGCCAAGCGAAAGCAUUAAGCAUCCCACCUGGGGAGUACGCCGGCAACGGUGCAACUCAAAGGAAUUGACGG